rnacentral:rRNA from 1 species
UACGGAGGGCGCGAGCGUUACCCGGAUUUACUGGGCGUAAAGGGCGUGUAGGCGGUUUGGGGCGUCCCACGUGAAAGGCCACGGCUCAACCGUGGAGGAGCGUGGGAUACGCUCAAGCUAGAGGGUGGGAGAGGGUGGUGGAAUUCCCGGAGUAGCGGUGAAAUGCGCAGAUACCGGGAGGAACGCCGAUGGCGAAGGCAGCCACCUGGCCCAUUUCUGACGCUGAGGCGCGAAAGCGUGGGGAGCAAACCGGAUUAGAUACCCGGGUAGUCCACGCCCUAAACGAUGCGCGCUAGGUCUUUGGGGUUUACCUGAGGGCCGAAGCCAACGCGUUAAGCGCGCCGCCUGGGGAGUACGGCCGCAAGGCUGAAACUCAAAGGAAUUGACGGGGGCCCGCACAAGCGGUGGAUUAUGUGGUUUAAUUCGAAGCAACGCGCAGAACCUUACCUGGGCUUGAAAUCCCGAGAAGAUCGGCCAAAACUGAUUGUGCUCUUCGGAGAACUCGGUGACAGGCGCUGCAUGGCUGUUGUCAGCUCGUGUCGUGAGAUGUUGGGUUAAGUCUCGCAACGAGCGCAACCCCUAUCCUUAGUUGCCAGCAUUAAGUUGGGCACUCUAGGGAGACUGCCUGGGUUAACCAGGAGGAAGGUGGGGAUGACGUCAAGUCCUCAUGGCCCUUAUGCCCAGGGCUACACACGUAAUACAAUGGUGCAUUCAAGGGGACGCGACCCCGCGAGGGUGAGCAAAUCUCAAAAAGUGCAUCUCAGUCCGGAUUGGAGUCUGCAACUCGACUCCAUGAAGUUGGAAUCGCUAGCAAUCGCGGAUCAGCACGCCGCGUGAAUACGUUCCCGGGCC